ensembl:snRNA U1 U1 spliceosomal RNA
AUACUUACCUGGCAGGGGAGAUAUGGUGAUCAUGAAGGUGGUUUUCCCAGGGAGAGGCUCAUCUGUUGCACUCCAGAUGUGCCAAGCCCUGAAAUUUAUCCAAAUGUGGGAAACAACUCUAUGGCAUAAUUUGUGGUAGUGGGGGACUGCCUUCACACUCUCCAC